rnacentral:rRNA from 1 species
GCCCUUUGCAGCGAGCUCGCCGACAUCAAGAAGCUGGACUCUUCCUCCACGACCUACUUCAAAAAGAUGAAGGUGUUCGCGGACACACUCACCUCCAUCGGUCGGCCGCUCAACGAUGAGGAGUUCGCUGGCUUUGUCAUCAAAGAUCUGGACGCUGACUACGACAAUCUCGCUGAGGCUGUUCACAAUGUCAAGCCUGCGAUGCCCCCGCACGAGCUCUACUCACGCCUCCUCAGCACCGAGCAACGCAUUGAGGCUCGUCGCACCUCCGCCACCAUCACCGCGCAGCCGGCGGCCUUCUAG